UGAGUACGAGAUGCUACGGCAUCGAAGCAGUGUAUGUCAUACUUCCAAGAAAAGCUCGCAAUGUCGUAAACAAAUAAUGCCUGUACCAUAACCGACACAGGUGGGUAGGUAGAGUAUACUAAGGGGCGCGAGAUAACUCUCUCUAAGGAACUCGGCAAAAUGACUCCGUAACUUCGGGAGAAGGAGUGCCUUAUUUUUAUAAGGUUGCAAUAACAAGAUCCAAGCAACUGUUUACCAAAAACACAGGUCUCCGCUAAGUCGUAAGACGAUGUAUGGGGGCUGACGCCUGCCCAGUGCCAGAAGGUUAAAGAAGUUGGUUAGCAUUAGCGAAGCUGAUAACUGAAGCCCUGGUGAACGGCGGCCGUAACAAUAACGGUCCUAAGGUAGCGAAAUUCCUUGUCGGGUAAGUUCCGACCCGCACGAAAGGCGUAAUGAUUUGGAUACUGUCUCGGAGAGGGGCUCGGUGAAAUAGACUUGUCUGUGAAGAUGCGGACUACCUGCACCUGGACAGAAAGACCCUAUGAAGCUUUACUGUAACUUGAGAUUGAAAUUGGACUUUAUCUGCGCAGUAUAGGUGGGAGACGUUGGUAAUAUUCUUGCGGGAAUAUUGGAGUCAUCAGUGAGAUACCACUCUUAUAAUGUUAGAUUUCUAACUUUGUAUCAUUAUCUGGUCAAAGAACAGUUUCAGGCGGGCAGUUUGACUGGGGCGGUCGCCUCCCAAACGGUAACGGAGGCGCACAAAGGUUUCCUCUGAACGUGUAGAAAUCGUAUCUAGAGUGUAAAGGCAUAAGGAAGCUUGACUGUGAGACCUACAAGUCGAGCAGGGACGAAAGUCGGUUUUAGUGAUCUGACGGUGCUGAGUGGAAAGGCCGUCACUCAACGGAUAAAAGUUACUCUAAGGAUAACAGGCUGAUCUCCCCCAAGAGUUCACAUCGACGGGGAGGUUUGGCACCUCGAUGUCGGCUCAUCGCAUCCUGGGGCGGUAGUACGUCCCAAGGGUUGGGCUGUUCGCCCAUGAAAGCGGUACGCGAGCUGGGUUCAGAACGUCGUGAGACAGUUCGGUCCAUAUCCGGUGUAGGCGUUAGAAUAUUGAGAGGAGCCUUCUUUAGUACGAGAGGACCGAGAAGGACAUACCUCUGGUGUACCAGUUAUCGUGCCAACGGUAAACGCUGGGUAGCUAUGUAUGGAGAGGAUAACCGCUGAAAGCAUCUAAGUGGGAAGCCCACCUCAAGAUAAG
rnacentral:rRNA from 1 species